UACGUAGGGCGCAAGCGUUGUCCGGAAUUAUUGGGCGUAAAGAGCUCGUAGGCGGUCUGUCGCGUCUGCCGUGAAAACCCGAGGCUUAACCUCGUGGCUUGCGGUGGAUACGGGCAGACUAGAGGUAGGUAGGGGAGAACGGAAUUCCCGGUGUAGCGGUGAAAUGCGCAGAUAUCGGGAGGAACACCGGUGGCGAAGGCGGUUCUCUGGGCCUUACCUGACGCUGAGGAGCGAAAGCAUGGGGAGCGAACAGGG
rnacentral:rRNA from 1 species